UUUGUCUGUAUGCGUCUUUGUUUAAUUUGUAACAAAGUUUUACACACAGGUGCAAACAGUAAACUCUUUUGCAACCCAGAACUUAUUGUUGAGUACAAGUUUUUGGUACAUGUAAGAAGGACUAUG